rnacentral:rRNA from 1 species
UACGUAGGGCGCAAGCGUUGUCCGGAAUUAUUGGGCGUAAAGAGCUCGUAGGCGGUUUGUCGCGUCUGCUGUGAAAACUGGAGGCUCAACCUCCAGCCUGCAGUGGGUACGGGCAGACUAGAGUGCGGUAGGGGGAGAUUGGAAUUCCUGGUGUAGCGGUGGAAUGCGCAGAUAUCAGGAGGAACACCGAUGGCGAAGGCAGAUCUCUGGGCCGUAACUGACGCUGAGGAGCGAAAGCGUGGGGAGCAAACAGG